UGCAGAAUCCCGCGAAUCAUCGAGUCUUUGAACGCAAGUUGCGCCCGAAGCCAUUCGGCCGAGGGCACGUCUGCCUGGGUGUCA
rnacentral:rRNA from 1 species